GCCUUCAGGGCGUUGAUGACCGUCUCGAUGUGCGUCUUGACAGCCUCAUGGGAGAACUCAGAGCUGGCCAGCGUGCACAUGCUCUCCAGGGCCAGACACCUGUCAUGGUGAAUGAUUAAGCUGAUGGCCUCGAAGAGCACGGCAUUCUUCGCGUUGGAGUGCUGGACCUUCUUCGACUUGGGCGGUUCUUGGGCUUUGUUCAGGAUGGUCUCCAGGCACUCAGUCAGGCGGCCUCGCACUGCAGGGUCUUCUGGGCAAGAC
rnacentral:lncRNA from 1 species